GCCGACAGUGAGACCUGGACACUGUUCUAGGUAUUCAGGUGCUCAUGAUACCUUGAUGUAUAUGGCCCUUGUAUACUGGUGGCAGAAGCCUUUGCCCAUAAUGGUCCUUGAAUUCUGGCUCUUGUUUACUCAUUGCCACAGAAAACAACUUUUUAAAAAGUGCUUUGCCUUUAUUUUUGGUAGAUGACAAUGAAGGAGACAAAAAGAAAAAAGAUAAGAAGAAAAAGAAAGCAGAAAAAGAUGAAAAAGAGAAAGAGAAGAAAAAAGGACCUAGCAAAGCCACUGUUAAAGCUAUGCAAGAAGCUCUGGCUAAGCUUAAAGAGGAGGAGAAGAGACAGAAGAGAGAAGAGGAGGAACGCAUAAAACGACUUGAAGAACUAGAGGCCAAGCGUAAAGAAGAGGAACGAUUAGAACAAGAAAAAAGAGAAAGGAAAAAGCAAAAAGAGAAAGAAAGAAAAGAACGCUUAAAAAAAGAAGGGAAACUUUUAACUAAAUCCCAGAGAGAAGCCAGAGCCAGAGCUGAAGCUACGCUUAAACUUCUUCAAGCUCAGGGUAAGUGAGAUCUUAAUUAGCUGUACUACUUGGGAGCUUCUCUCAUGCAGUUUUAUCUCUGGUCACAGAGCAUUAGUUCAGGGGAGUGGAAUUGUAUGCUAGGACAGAAAUUUAUGUGCAAAUGAUAGAAUUUCUAUAAAAUCUGCCCUCCCGUCAACAAAAAUAUAAAUGAUAACAAAAUGAGACUAAUCAACCAGUUUUUCAGUAAUUACCAAUAUUUUCCAAUCUUGCUGUAUACCCCUCUGCCAACUGUUUUUCUGGGAUAUGUUAAAGUGAAUUACAGACAUGUGCUUUUUAUUUUUAUCUCCUGGAUACUCAUGUAACUAGCAAAUAAGAGCAUUUUGCUUUUUAGCAUA
rnacentral:lncRNA from 1 species